GAUGAAGAACGUAGCGAAAUGCGAUAAGUAGUGUGAAUUGCAGAAUUCAGUGAAUCAUCGAAUCUUUGAACGCACAUUGCGCCCUCUGGUAUUCCGGAGGGCAUGCCUGUUCGAGCGUCAUUAAAACUACUCAAGCUAAGGUUUUACCUUCUGCUUGGUCUUGGGUUUGAGGACUCAAAAUCCUCUCUCCGAAAUCCAGUGGCGAAUUGUUUGAGCUGUAGACGUAGUAAAUCAUUCUACCCGUUGCAAGCGAGAAUAAUAUUCAGCCAUAACCCCCAUACUUUUCUAGUUUGACCUCGGAUCAGGUAGGGAUACCCGCUGAACUUAAGCAUAUCAAUAAGCGGAGGA
rnacentral:misc_RNA from 1 species